rnacentral:tRNA from 1 species
GGGGAUAUGGGGUAGCCUGGUAGCCUUUCAGGUUUGGGACCUGACGACCCCGGUUCAAAUCCGGGUAUCCCCA